GACGUAGGUGGCGAACGUUAUCCGGAAUUAUUGGGCGUAAAGGGCGCGUAGGUGGUUCUGUAUGUCUACCGUGAAAGCAUACAGCUCAACUGUAUUUUGUCGGUAGAAACUGCAGGACUUGAGGCUGGGAGGGGCUGGUGGAAUUCCCUGUGUAGCGGUGAAAUGCGUAGAGAUGGGGGAGAACACUCGUGGCGAAGGCGGCCAGCUAGACCAGUUCUGACACUGAGGCGCGACAGCGUGGGGAGCAAACAGG
rnacentral:rRNA from 1 species